GUGGGGAAUAUUGGACAAUGGGCGAAAGCCUGAUCCAGCCAUGCCGCGUGUGUGAAGAAGGUCUUCGGAUUGUAAAGCACUUUAAGUUGGGAGGAAGGGCAGUAAGUUAAUACCUUGCUGUUUUGACGUUACCGACAGAAUAAGCACCGGCUAACUUCGUGCCAGCAGCCGCGGUAAUACGAAGGGUGCAAGCGUUAAUCGGAAUUACUGGGCGUAAAGCGCGCGUAGGUGGUUUUGUAAGUUGGAGGUGAAAUCCCCGGGCUCAACCUGGGAACUGCCUCCGAAACUGCAUGACUAGAGUACGGUAGAGGGUAGUGGAAUUUCCUGUGUAGCGGUGAAAUGCGUAGAUAUAGGAAGGAACACCAGUGGCGAAGGCGACUACCUGGACUGAUACUGACACUGAGGUGCGAAAGCGUGGGGAGCAAACAGGAUUAGAAACCCGUGUAGUCC
rnacentral:rRNA from 1 species